rnacentral:rRNA from 1 species
UGGGGAAUAUUGGACAAUGGGCGAAAGCCUGAUCCAGCCAUGCCGCGUGUGUGAAGAAGGUCUUCGGAUUGUAAAGCACUUUAAGUUGGGGGGAAGGGCAGUAAGCGAAUACCUUGCUGUUUUGACGUUACCGACAGAAUAAGCACCGGCUAACUCUGUGCCAGCAGCCGCGGUAAUACAGAGGGUGCAAGCGUUAAUCGGAAUUACUGGGCGUAAAGCGCGCGUAGGUGGUUCGUUAAGUUGAAUGUGAAAGCCCCGGGCUCAACCUGGGAACUGCAUCCAAAACUGGCGAGCUAGAGUAGGGCAGAGGGUGGUGGAAUUUCCUGUGUAGCGGUGAAAUGCGUAGAUAUAGGAAGGAACACCAGUGGCGAAGGCGACCACCUGGGCUCAUACUGACACUGAGGUGCGAAAGCGUGGGGAGCAAACAGG